UGAGUAAGCUAGACAAUCGCGGCUGGUCGUGCUCGUUGAGAACACGCAUCAGAUGAGGAAAGUCCGGGCUCCUUAGGGUAAGGAUGCCGGGUAACUCCCGGUGAAGGCGACUUCAAGGAAAGUGCAACAGAAAUAUACCGCCUGCAUUGGUUGAUAACGUUAUGUUUAUCAGGGCAGGUAAGGGUGGAAAGGCGAGGUAAGAGCUCACCGGCAGCAUGAAAACAUGUAUGCCCUGUAAACCCCAUCCGGAGCAACACCGUGGCUGGCAAUACGUGACCCGCGUGCCUAUGGAGGUGGCUCAAGCGUAGGCGAAAUCCUUCGCUUAGAUAGAUGAUUGUCCAAGACAGAACCCGGCUUAUCGGCUUACUCAGCUA
rfam:Clostridiales genomosp. BVAB3 str. TPII9-5, complete genome.